AUGUGUGAUUGUGUUUGCCUCUUCCUCAGCUGGCUGAUCGAGCGUCCUCUACGUGCCCUCCCUCAGCAGCUCGUCGCCGCAGGCAGCCGCCAUGGCCGUGUCAUGGAGCUCGCCGCCGCGCCUUCCAACGACGCCCUGCGUCCAGGCAUGGCGAGGGCGCUCGAUGGCAGGAACGGCCGCAUCAAGGAGGCAGCUAGGGACGGUGGCUCCAGGGCUCUACACGCCGUUGCCAGCCACGGGAAGAUGUCGGUGUUCGUGGAUGGCCUGGCGUGGAAGAUGAGCAAGGAGGGCGUGCGCGACCAGUUCGAGCUCUUCGGCGAGAUCCUCGAGGCCGUCGUCAUCGCCAACAAGGGCACCGACAUAUCCAAGGGCCGCGGAUUCGUGAGUUACGUUUUGGGAGGCGGAGGCGGCCAUUAG
rnacentral:rRNA from 1 species